rnacentral:lncRNA from 1 species
GUGGUAAUAAGGUUAACUGCUCAAACAACGUAAUUAACUGAGAUUGGUGACACACUGAAUCAUGCUGCCAACAAACAACAUCAGGUGACUCCUAUCUCGUUUUUGGCUUCUCAGGUAGACUUGAUCUCUGGGAUGAAACAAAGCUUGACUCCCAGAAAGCUGAAGAAAGAAGUCUAAAGUUUGUUUGAAGCUCUGGUGAAGACUUCCACAGACAGCUUCUACCUUCUUUCCAGUCCAUGGAAUCUAAGACUUCAUUGAGGAUCAGGCUAUACAAAUAGAAUCUUUACACUGGCAAAUUGCACCUAUUGUUGUUGGGGUGCAUCUGAAGACUGACGCAGAAACAGAUCCUGGAUCUGGAGGUGGGGCGAUGAAAUGUGAUAAAACUAGGAAACAUGAAGGAAGACACCGUAUUGGGUUUUAUUAUUACUUGGCUCCCAGUGAAGAAGCUUUAAUCAUGAAUGUUAACAUACAACGUUCAGUGAAGUUGCAAGAUGUGGCAGUCAUGGUAGUGAAGAAGUGGAAAGACUGAUUCCAGUUGUUCCUCUGUGAACUGUGCCGAAUUCCUGCCCGAAUUGUGGUCACUGAAGGUACAUAAGGCAAAAUUCUGUAAGGAUAAAAUGAAAGAAAAUGCCAGUAGAAUGAUUCCUGGAAUGGUCUUCACCCCCUGAACUCUCUUUUGAUAGUCAGGGCCACUGAAAGUUCCCCACACAAUCUGGAGGCUUUGAGAGGAGAGGAAAAAGAAGCUGAGAAGAGUUAACAUUGGUUGUAUGCUGUGGUUUAGUGGUGGCUGAAGAGGCGGUGAGAUGUGACUGUGGAGAUACAUACUGCUAAACUGCCUUGUGCUGGGAAGCCCUGUUGGGCCACAGGAGGACUUGUGGCUCUUGCCGGUAAUGCCUCCAAGGAGAAUUAAGGAGAUGUCUAGAAAAUAGGUUACUACAGAGGUAGGUUGCAGACUUGUAUACCUUGGUAGCUAAGACUAAGGAGCACAAAGGGUCUGAAGCCUUACUGAACUCAUGUUCUCUAUGAAAGAUAGAUUUCUUGAUGACAGGAGCACUGGACUGUGUAUUUGUCACUUAUUUGUUAGGUAGUUUCGGACAAGAGAAAAACAAUUUGACAUGUCCACAUUCUCAUCUGUAGAAUGAACAUCUUAUGUGAUUUCUUUAUGGCACGUGUGAUCUGAUCACCAUUAGUGAGAGACGAGUGUCUUCACUGAGAUGCAUGUCUACUGCUUACUGAUGUAUAGAAGCUUUCAGAUGGGUUGUACUCCUGCACCACAUAACCACUUGGGUACAUAUUUUCUUGCUGUUGCAGAAUUCCUUUAACUUUGGAUAAAAUUGCAGUCUGCCUUCCUGAAUAACAAUGCAGAGUUAGAGACAUAUUCUGUCUGUAAUACCUUGGAUUUGAGGAAAAUGCAUUUAAAAACAAACCCAAAUUCACAUAAAUGUUUUAAAAGUCAGGUCUGAAAUUGGAUCUUAUUCAGUUUAGGUCAAUAGUCUAGAAAGAAAAAUUCAGAAUAGGAGAUGAAUUGUGCUGAGUAUUUAUUUCUUGGGGUUUCUCUAAGGCUUUUAUUAUGGGAGUUGAAUCUAAAGAGUGGCUCUCCUAAAUGCUAUUAACGUAUCCACUUUUUCUGUGUUCCUGUUAGUAGGAAGCAAAUGACCUCAGUAUUAGGAGGCAAGUUUGAAAACUGCACAAGGAAUUACAUGUUAAAAAGAGAGAGAGAGGUGUGCAUACUUCCCCUUGAAGCUUUGAAAAUGUAUUUCUGCAGGGUAAGGAGCUUCUGAAGCUACAGCAAAAAAUAAGGGUAUUUCUUUCUUCUGUCUUUGUGCUAUGUACUGAGAUGUUUUGGGGAAAAGCAACAAGACUUCAUAUAAAUACACCAGUAUUCUUUGAAUGUCCCCAUUUCAUUAUUCCCUUAAUCAUAUGCUGGAGAGCACAAAAGUAGUUAUACGACUCUUCCUGGUUCUUAAAGAAAACUGCUGUGUGGGCUGAAAAGACGCCUAAUUUGUAGACUGAAAGCAGAACUUUUCAGUUCUGGGUAUAUUGUAUAAUUGCUUACAAUUUUGACAGGGUUAGCCUAGAGCGGAAUGAAAAUGUGUUGAAAUUCAUUUCUUGUGUAACUUCUCUGAAAUAAUCAUGUGUUUUCCAUAAGAAGUCAACUGGGUGGGCAGGAAAGAUGUCCUUAAACUGAUUGUUUAUUUUUAUUUUUAUUUACUUUUUAAUUAUUUUUUAUACUGCCUUUUUAUUUUUCCCUACCAUAGUGUGGACAAGUCAGUAUUUACAAAUAAAUCUUACUAGCGAUCUUUUCUCA